rnacentral:rRNA from 1 species
UACGAAGGGGGCUAGCGUUGCUCGGAAUUACUGGGCGUAAAGCGCACGUAGGCGGUCUUUUAAGUCGGGGGUGAAAUCCUGGAGCUCAACUCCAAAACUGCCUUCGAUACUGACGAGCUCGAGUCCGGGAGAGGUGAGUGGAACUGCGAGUGUAGAGGUGAAAUUCGUAGAUAUUCGCAAGAACACCAGUGGCGAAGGCGGCUCACUGGCCCGGUACUGACGCUGAGGUGCGAAAGCGUGGGGAGCAAACAGG